UACGUAGGGUGCGAGCGUUGCCCGGAUUUAUUGGGCGUAAAGGGCGCGUAGGCGGCCACGCACGUCCGUUGUGAAAUCGCUCGGCUCAACUGGGCGGGGUCAGCGGAUACGGUGUGGCUAGAGCAAGCUAGGGGGCAAUGGAAUUCCCGGUGUAGUGGUGGAAUGCGUAGAUACCGGGAGGAACACCAGUGGCGAAGGCGGUUGCCUGGAGCUUUGCUGACGCUGAUGCGCGAAAGCGUGGGGAGCGAUCCGG
rnacentral:rRNA from 1 species